UAAGGCCAGCGAGAGAACUGUUGUUAAGGAACUCGGCAAAAUGACCCCGUAACUUAGGGAUAAGGGGUGCCACCAUCAGGUGGCCGCAGAGAAUAGGCCCAAGCGACUGUUUACCAAAAACAUAGGUUUCUGCUAAGUCGCAAGACGAUGUAUAGGAGCUGACGCCUGCCCGGUGCUGGAAGGUUAAGGGGAUCUGUUAGAGCAAUCGAAGCAGUGAACUUAAGCCCCAGUAAACGGCGGCCGUAACUAUAACGGUCCUAAGGUAGCGAAAUUCCUUGUCGGGUAAGUUCCGACCCGCACGAAAGGCGUAACGAUUUGGGCACUGUCUCAACAACAGACUCGGUGAAAUUGUAAUUCCGGUGAAGAUGCCGGAUACCUGCGACAGGACGGAAAGGCCCCAUGGAGCUUUACUGUAGCUUGACAUUGGGUCUUGGUACUACAUGUACAGGAUAGGUGGGAGGCUUUGAAACCAGGACGCCAGUUUUGGCGGAGCCAUCCUUGGGAUACCAC
rnacentral:rRNA from 1 species